UGUACUCCUCUUGACUACUUAUCUUAGCUAUCCAUCACAUUGCUUGCAUGUUCAGUCCCUCAGUCGUAUCUGACUCUGCGACCCCACGGACUGUAGCCCACCAGACUCUUCUGUCCAUGGGGACUCUCCAGGCAAGAAUACCGGAGUGGAUUGCCAUGCCCUCCUCCAGGGGAUCUUCCCAACCCAGGGACUGAACCUAAAAUCUCUUGCGCUGCUGAAUUGAUCUGUAAGAAAAGUGAGAUCACAGGACAAACAGCUGCCUCUAAAAUCAUGGAAGCUAACAGGCAAACACAGAGAAUCACAACUUACCAGAGCAGAAACACAGGAGCUGUUUCACCUUCAUGGGAGCCAGUGCCAGGGUAGGAAAACCAGAACUGUGGGAGUGGACAGGUCUGAGAGUUAAAAUCUCCAGGGGGACACAGUCAAGUUCUUUGCCCAUUUUUAAACUGGGUUAUUUUAGUGUCUUUUGUCUGCUUUUCUGUUUUUGUAUAAUAGUUUCUGAUUAUUUUUUUAAUAUUAACCUCUUAUGGUUUCUCCCAUUCCAUUCAUUGCCAUUUUACUCUGUUGAUCAUUUCCUUUACUAUGCUUUUUGGUUGGAUAUAAUCCUACUUGUCUAUUUCAAUUUUAUUGUCUGUAUUUUUGGUGUUAUAUUGAAUAAAUUAUUGCCAAGACC